rnacentral:lncRNA from 1 species
CUGUGAUUUUAAAGUUAAAGACUGUAGUUUUCUGACAGAUUUUCUUUCUGUGCUAUAAUCUCUUUCAGCACAUGGAUGUACCAGUACGCAGUUUCAGUGUGCUAAUGGAGAAUGCAUCCCACGAGCCUUUAUCUGUGACCAUGAUGAUGACUGUGGAGAUAGGAGUGAUGAAAACUCUUGCACUUAUGCUACUUGCAGAGGCAACUUCUUCACUUGUCCAAGUGGCCGUUGCAUUCAUCAGAGCUGGAUAUGUGAUGGAGAUGAUGAUUGUGAAGAUAAUGAAGAUGAAAGAGGAUGUGAAAGUGGUCGCCAUGAAUGCUACCCGGGAGAGUGGGCCUGCCCUGGGUCAGGGCAUUGCAUUCCAAUUGGGAAAGUGUGUGAUGGGGCUGCAGACUGCCCUGCAGGAGAAGAUGAAACUAAUAUCACUGCGGGCAGACAUUGCAACAUAUCACACUGUGCUGCUCUGAGUUGCCAGUAUCGCUGUC